GCACUGCUGAGGAGUCCCAUACUAGGACGAAACGGCCGUCCAGUUU
rfam:Schistosoma haematobium scaffold2167_3, whole genome shotgun sequence.